CGUUCCCUGCGAUCCGCGCUCCCUCCCUCCCCAUACUACCCCGUCAAUCACGGGCACCUGCCCUCCUGCUCCAUCACGCACGCCGCCAUCCGUCCUGCCCAUCCAUGUCGCCACACUGCCUCUCCCCCGCCGAGCCAAUGCCCCGCUCCGUCCCGCCCUACCCCACCCUACCCGGCUCUACACACCUACUGUUCACGCACGCCGGUGCUGCUGGAGGUUGGAUGGCUGCGACGUGCCCACAACGGUUGCGGGAGGUGCGGCCUCCGGAUCUAGGCACCACGAUGGAUGACGCCGGUUGCGAGGGCACCACUUGCACAGAGGAUGAGAUCGUAGGGGAGGAGUAUGUCGCAGCCAAGGAAGUCGUGGAAGGGUACCUGCCGCCGCCUGUGAUUGCGGGGAUCUCGCCGCCCCUGCUGAGGACACAUCACUGGCGAGAUUUAAGGACGCCGCCGUUGCAGCGAUAGCGGAGGACAAGACUGCGGCACCUACGAAGGCUCCAGCCAAGGUGAGUUCUGCCUUCUGGGCUCCUAGCUACCUUCACCCGCCUUGAUUCCUCUUCCCUCAAAUUCUUCUAAUCUCCUCAAUUAUUUCUGUCUCAAUCUGAUUGGAUGCGACUUGUGGCAAAGCUCUCAAAUUUGUACGUCUCAUCUAUUUUGUUCUUGUCACAAAGUUUGUGCAAUAAUUCAGCGUUGCUUCCAAUCUAUGAAAGAAAAUGGGAGAACGCUCUGUGGAAUAGGUUUGUUCAGGCUUGGAACAUGUUCGAGAGAAAAAGGAGCUGAUAUCGAAGGCCCAGAGCAGAAAAUAAAGAUUCUUGGCAGGGAAUCCAUCGUUGUCUUUGAUGACUUUGCUCACAAGCUAGAACAGAAGAUAGGAAAAAGGCCUUAACAUUUAGUUCAAAGGUCAUUGUACACUGAUGUAAUUGAAUCAUGCCCACCUCCUGGGAGUGGAAGGACAAAUUCCCACACCAUCAAAAGCCAUCACAAUACUGGUGGCCUUCCAAAAAGUAUGAAGUUAAAACUCAUCGAACCACUCAAGCUCCUAUUCAAAGAUGAGGUGCGGAAGUUGGGUAGUAUUUUGAAUGUCCUAGAUUCAUUUUUUAAGUGACACCCAUUUCCUGGUCUUGUUGUAUGUGUGCUAAGUCAUGUUACACAAGGCAAUGCUGAACUCUAGGAUGGUAGCAACCUAAAAUGUACCUUUUGGAGGUUAUACUGAUUAGUAGAUAGUGGAUUGAUGUCCUAGACUCCCUGUGGUUAGAAGUAGAACAUCUUGUUUACAGUUAACUUCUAUGACAAAGGACUCCAUGGUAUGGAUUUGCCAUUCAUCUGGAGUCUAUUCCGCACAUAUUUCCUUACCAAAUAUGUGAUCAGUAUUAGGGGAGUUCAGCACAUACAUCUUCUUGCCAUUUGCUCCCUAAAAUCCCAUCCAGGGUGCAUUUCUUUCUCUGACUUUUACUUUCUAGGAAGAGAACACAAACUACAGAUAGAAUAAGUAGAUGGAAAAAGGCUAGAGGACUUAACCUGCCUGUACUAAACCUGAAACUUCACGUAUUCUCUGACUGAUGUGUACUAGCUGCACAGAUAUGAGUGGUCCUAUCUGAGAUUACUGAAGUAGAGUUUUCAGUAACUUUGAUGGUUUCGCUAAGUAAUAAUGAGAUUACUAAUGGUGUGAUGUGAACAAAAUUUUGCCUACUAAAUCUUUUCCACAAAGCCCACUGUUUAGUUGGCAGUGUGGUCUCUUUACAGUACAAACUCCCUAGAGGAUUUGACACAGUUGGUUGCAUUGAUAUAACUCAGAUAGUUCUAUGAAAGUUGUUUGUUUGCAGAAUUUGGGGCACUCCAAAUGAAGGAAUUUGACCAGGUGUUGCUUCAUUACCUGAUAACAAAUCAAAUUUUCAAAGUGUCACCCGUGGUAAGUAAAAAACAAGUUCUUUUUAUUAUUGCAUUUAGUGGAAUGAGAUUUGAGUUGUGGGUGUGGAUGAAAACUUUCAAAGUGUUUGAUCUGUUACAGAUAAGUUUGGGAUCUUCUUUUUGCUUGUGUAUGAGGGUAAUUGAACAUUGUAGUGAUUACUAUUUUUGACCAUAACAUGUGGUUCACGCUGUAGGAUCUUGCAACGGUGGUCCCAACACUUAAACCUUUGGGACUCAUAUUUUCCUGCUGCUUCACUGCUAUCUAGGUUAUGUUGCCUUAGUAUCCACCAAAUAUCAAAUUUAAACCCAUGGGUAUAAUUCAUGGGUAUAGUGGAUUAUGUAUUCUAUCGGCAGAGGAUCUAGACAUCCUAUGAUGUUUUUUUCUUCUUUUUUUUGGAAAAAAAGUGAUGCAAAUGCUUCAGAGGCAGGGAAAUAGAUGCAAAGCUUUAUUCAAAACACUAGAGAAGAAAGUUGACCAGAAUUCUACUAUACCAAAAUGCAUUCCAUCCAAAGGUAUGAUGCCUUGCAAUGCUUCCUGCUCUGGCCUCUGGGUGUAUUUUGGUAUGAUGCCUUACGAUGCUCACAGACUGGGUGUAUUUUGGUAUAUUCAAAUGAGCCCAGAACAUUAUAGAACUGGUAUGGAUAGAUGAGAUUUGAUUUAAGAUUAUUUUAUGACAAACAAGCAAUGAAUUGGAAUUAUUAUAAUUGAGAUAUCAAUCUUACAAGUUGGACUGUGUGCUUUAAUGUGUGUCUGUUUCAAAAAAUCUAUUGAUAGCACUUGAAAUUAUCAACCUUUCAAAAAUAUAAAGAUUGUUCUAUUUUUCUUUGUCUGUUUCUUUGAUCUCUUUGCUAAAAUUCCUGCAGGUGAUCUCUAUUCCAAGUUGACUUGAACUACAAUAGCAGGCUUGACGCAUCGAUGAGAGCUGUGCAGUAGCAGGCUCGAUGCAUCUCGUAUCAAGCUCCCCAUAUCUUGAUCUUCAUGCAGGUUCAUUUACUUUCUAAAGAAACCAAAGUCAUGUUCCUAUUCCUGGAGAUCAUGUAAAAUUCACACGCUGCUCAAUCUGUUCAUUCUAACCUUUAUGUUUGUUUGUGGGAUAGAGAGGGUGAUUUACUCAACCUAACAAAGUGACAAUAGUGAAACCUUUCCAUACCACUGAAAGUGUGGUCUUGCAUAAAUAAAUUUUAAGCAAUCAAACAAUACAAAUUGUAGCCAUGUGUAUUUUUAGAAUGCUUGUUGACAAUAUGUGCUGGCGACUGCAUUGCUGUCAAAUAGUUUACACACGAGAACUAAUGUUCGAUGAUUAUUUUGGUCAUGCUCAAAGAGUCAGAUCACAUACCAUUCAACUGGCAAGAAGUCCUACUUGAUGUAACAAGUGAUAGGAGAGGAGAAGAAGAGAAACUUAGGCCUGCAGGCCACUAAGGUGUGGAAGUUGGGGAGUAUUUUGAAUGUCCCAGAUUCAUUAUUGAAGUGGCACCCAUUUCCUGGUCCUGGUCUUGUUGUACUAUCCUAGGUGAUGUUACACAAGGCAAUGCUUUGGAAGUUCUUCGUCAGGUUUGAACUUUUAGAAUUGUUGAAAUUUUGCUACAACACCUUGGAUACACUGUGAAUUGGUAGCAUCUCACUUCAAUUUUUUUCAGGUGAACAAGAUAUUUAUUCGAGCUGUUAAAUGUUAUUUUCCGCUAUUGUGUUAAUUUCAUGAACUUUAUUUUUUGAAUUAAAUGUUAUUUUAAUGUUGGUAUUUAA